rnacentral:rRNA from 1 species
GACGAACGCUGGCGGCGUGCCUAAUACAUGCAAGUUGAGCGCUGAAGGUUGGUACUUGUACCAACUGGAUGAGCAGCGAACGGGUGAGUAACGCGUGGGGAAUCUGCCUUUGAGCGGGGGACAACAUUUGGAAACGAAUGCUAAUACCGCAUAAAAACUUUAAACACAAGUUUUAAGUUUGAAAGAUGCAAUUGCAUCACUCAAAGAUGAUCCCGCGUUGUAUUAGCUAGUUGGUGAGGUAAAGGCUCACCAAGGCGAUGAUACAUAGCCGACCUGAGAGGGUGAGGGGCAACAUGGGGAAGGGAAAACGGCCAAAACCCAUAGGGGGGGCAAAAGGGGGGAAUGUUAGGAAAGGGAAGAAAGUUGGAACGAGAAAAGCCGGGGGAGGGAAGAAGGUUUUGGGAUAUAAAAACUCUGGUGGAAAGGAAGAACGUUGGGGAGAGGGGAAAGCCCAUAAAGUGAGGGAAACUACCCAAAAAGGGACGGCUAACUAAGU